UACGCAUUUCACACCUGAUGUUCACACCACACCCCCACCUACAUAUAUAUUCUUCCUCUCUUUUUCUCUCUCAUCUUUUGCUUCUCUCUCUCUCCACCAUAACCAAAACAUAAAAAACACCCUUCAAUAACUUCUUUCUCUUCUCUAUUGGAUUUCAAUCUCUCCCUCUCACUCUGAUUUUUUUUUUUCUUUUUCAAUUUUCAUGGAGGGUCAUCAUCUCCAUCACCGGCAACAACAAUUACAACAACAUCACCACCCUCAUCACAACAUCACAACUAGUAACGUGGAUGCCACGGAUAGGUUCCCCCAAUGGAGCAUCCAAGAGACCAAAGAGUUCCUCGUGAUCCGUGCCGAGCUGGAUCAGACUUUCAUGGAGACAAAGAGGAACAAACAGCUUUGGGAAGUCAUCUCCAACCGGAUGAAGGAAAAGGGUUUCCAUAGAAGUGCAGAACAGUGCAAGUGCAAGUGGAAAAACCUCGUUACCCGCUACAAGGGAUGUGAAACGAUGGAGCCGGAAGCGAUGAGGCAGCAAUUCCCGUUCUACAACGAGCUUCAAGCGAUUUUCGCGGCGAGAAUGCAGAGAAUGUUGUGGGCGGAAGCAGAAGGAGGAGGGUCCAAUAAUAAGAAGAAGGGGAUGCACCUUUCUUCCGACGACGAGGAAGAAGGCAAUGAAGAGAUGAUGAGCGAGGGGGAUCACAAGGGUAACAUCAUCAUCAGCAAGAAGAACAAGAAGAAGGGAAAGAUGGUAAUUGGCGUCGGAGGGAGUGGUAACAACAACAAUAGUAGUAGUAGUAGUAACAACUUGGAGAGUUUGAAGGAGAUCAUGGACGAGUUCAUGAGGCAGCAGAUGCAAAUGGAGGCACAGUGGAUGGAAGCCUUUGAGGCAAGGGAGAAUGAGAGGAGGCUGAAGGAGAUGGAGUGGAGGCAAACCAUGGAGGCGUUGGAGAAUGAGAGGUUAAUGAUGGACCAAAGGUGGAGGGAGAGGGAAGAACAAAGAAGGAUUAGGGAAGAAGUUAGGGCUGAUAAGAGAGAUGCUCUAAUCACUGCUCUUCUUAACAAGCUCAGAAGAGAAGAGAUGUAGUAGUUUCUUUUGGCUGGAUAGAUAGCUAGCUUUUAUGUGUCUUUCUUCUUCUCAUGAAGCAAAGCUUAAUUUAAGAGCUAGGUGAUUUCAAUUUUGCAUGCAAGAGUUCAUAUUCCGAAUGGUUACUGACAUUGACCCUGUGCAUGUGAGAGAGCUAGCUAGGACAUCAUCAUGAUCAUAUUAGUACCAGAAUUUCAGCCUCAGGUAUGAACUUAUGACUUUAAAGUGGCAAUUAACACAUUCAUUAAGCCGUGUCAUCUGUGAUAAAUUGAUUUUUUUAAUUAAUAAAAUAAUUUAAAGAUAACAAAAGGAAGAUCACAGAGAUCAGUGAUAGAAAAGGAAAUGUUUGUUCAAAAUAUAAAAGCUAAGAUUGCAUGAUAACCUUUUGUCUUUAAAUUUAUAUAUGCGUGCGGUGUUUGUAGGGUAUAUAUGUUUACAUGUAUAUAUGUGUUUUAAGAAUUGGAUGUGCAUGUUAAACAAUUAUUUUUGCGUCUAGUUAUUAUUUGGAUUUUAUUCUCAAUGACAUGUGACCUAGUUACACGUAUUUAGUCUUAAAUCUUUGGGAUUUAUGCAGCAAAGGAACUCCAGAUCAAAAUGAAAGAAAAAAAACACCAAAAUCCAAUCACAGUUUAUUAUAGCAUAAUUUUGUGGGUUCACUUUGCUUAGUGUGAUAUUUAUUUCUAAAUGAGUGUUUGUAA